GAUGAACGCUGGCGGCGUGCCUAAUACAUGCAAGUCGAGCGAACAGACGAGGAGCUUGCUCCUCUGACGUUAGCGGCGGACGGGUGAGUAACACGUGGAUAACCUACCUAUGAGACUGGGAUAACUUCGGGAAACCGGAGCUAAUACCGGAUAAUAUAUUGAACCGCAUGGUUCAAUAGUGAAAGACGGUUUUGCUGUCACUUAUAGAUGGAUCCGCGCCGCAUUAGCGAGUUGGUAAGGUAACAGCUUACCAAGGCAAGGAUGCGUAGCCGACCUGAGAGGGUGAUCGGCCACACUGGAACUGAGACACGGUCCAGACUCCUACGGGAGGCAGCAGUAGGGAAUCUUCCGCAAUGGGCGAAAGCCUGACGGAGCAACGCCGCGUGAGUGAUGAAGGUCUUCGGAUCGUAAAACUCUGUUAUUAGGGAAGAACAAAUGUGUAAGUAACUAUGCACGUCUUGACGGUACCUAAUCAGAAAGCCACGGCUAACUACGUG
rnacentral:rRNA from 1 species